rnacentral:rRNA from 1 species
UACGGAGGGAGCAAGCGUUGUUCGGAUUUACUGGGCGUAAAGGGCUCGUAGGCGGCCACUUCAAGCCGGUUGUGAAAUCUCCGGGCUUAACCCGGAAAGGUCAAUCGAUACUGCAGGGCUAGAGUGCGGAAGGGGCAACUGGAAUUCUCGGUGUAGCGGUGAAAUGCGUAGAUAUCGAGAGGAACACCUGCGGCGAAGGCGGGUUGCUGGGCCGACACUGACGCUGAAGUGCGAAAGCUAGGGGAGCGAACGGG